GCGCUGGCCUGGCGCGGGGAGGAGCGUCUGCGCAGCGGGGCCGAGCGAGAGCCGCUGCACCUGGUCCCGGCCUGCAGCCCGGCGCCGAGCCACUCUGCGCUGGAGCUGGUUUGGGGACGCGGCCGGGGCGGGCAGGGGACUCUGGGCUGCGCCCCAGCCGUAUGACCCACCUCUUCACUUGCCCUCCGAGCGUGUGCUGCUGUGCGUGGGACCCCGUGUGCUUGGGUCACAGUGAGUGGGAAGGUGGAGGAACUGCCUUCAGACAAGUGCAGCCCACUGGGACACUGCAGAAACCUGGUCCUUCCUGGCUGGAGCAGCCAAAUGGCCAUCGUGCGGACAGGCCUGUGAAGGAGUCAGGAGAGAUGGAAAUACCAGGGCCUUAGGACAAGCCACCUCACAUUCCCAGAAAGCACUCCCUGCCCCACCAACAGUCAGGUGCUGGGACCCUGAGAAGAGCUGAGCAGCAGCCUCCUGAGAAGGGGCCUGUAAAGCUGGAGCUGUAGAGCACUUCCCCAGGGAGACUGGAGGAGAGCUCCAUGACCCCUGAGCCAGGCCAAGUGCAGAAGGGGCAGGGCAGGGCUCCCAAGCAGGAGGCCAGCUUGGAGCUCUGGGAGGUGUUUGAGGAUGUGGCUGUGUAUUUCACACGGAAGGAGUGGGAGCUGCUGGAAGAUGAAAACAAGGUGCUUUACCAGGCCCAGGUGCUGAAGAAUUACCAAGCCCUCGUUUCCCUGGGAUAUCGAGGUCCCACACCCGCCCUAAUCUGCAGCAUCCAGCAAGGACAGGUGGAGCUCUGGGUCUGUGAUGAUGAGGACCAUGGAGAAAUCUCAAGAUCAGAGGACCCGCUGCCAGACCAGGCUGCCACGAUCUUAAGUUUCCAUCUUCACUCAGCAAUGUAAGAGUUAAUUCCCCCGGCUCAAGGAAGUGCCUGGCUGCUGAGCAGAGCUGAGGAGCAGCAUCCUGCAGAAGGGUCUUCAGACCUGGAGCUGGCACGGACUUCCCCAGGGAAUUUGGAUGAGGUGGACUCCCUGGGACCUGAGAAGGAGCAAUGGUACACAAGUUGGGGGAGGCCCCAAAAGCAGACGGAGAACUUAACGUAGAAUGAGGUACCAUCUCCAGUUGAGCAUGAGAGUGAAGAAAGGGCAGGGAAAAACUUCAAACAAUCCCCUAACCUGGCCCAGCACCAGCUUGUCCAUAUGGGGGAGAGGCCAUAUCGGUGCUUAGAGUGUGAGAAGAGCUUCACCCGUUCCUCCCAUCUGGUCCGGCAUCAGCUUAUCCACACAGGGGAGAAGCCACAUCAGUGCUUGGAGUGUGGGAAAAGCUUCAACCGAUCCUGUACUUUGGCCCAACACCAGCUUAUGCACACGGGGGAGAAGCCAUAUUGGUGCCUGGAGUGUGGGAAAAGCUUCGUUCGUUGCUCCAAUCUGGUCCAGCACCAGCUUAUCCACACAGGGGAGAAGCCACAUCAGUGCUCGUCGUGUGGGAAGAGCUUCUUCCUGUUGUCCAGCCUGACCAAACACCAGGUCACCCACAUGGGGAAGAAGCCACAUCUGCUCAGAAUGUGGGAAGAGCUUCACUUGAUCCUUCAACCUGUCCCGGCACCCACUCAUCCACACAGAGAAGAAACCACAUCAGUGCUCAGUGCAGAAAGUGCUUCUUCCACUCCAAACUGGCCCAGCACCAGUGCAUCCCUAUCUGGGAGUUUCUAUAAUUCUGCCAGCAAUACAGGAAAGGCUUGGAGAUGUAUACCUGCUUAGCAUCCACCAGUGUUUGCAUGCAGGGAAGCAGUCCCAUGCUGAUGCACUGCAGCCAUAGUUCACCCUUCAUUAAGCCUUUCAAGGUACUGCAAAAUUCAAAGUACAUAGUUUCAUAGUUUCAGGGUCGGAAGGGACCUAAUAGAUCUUCUAGCCCGACCCCCCGCCAGGGCGGGAGAACAACCCCAAAAAA